rnacentral:rRNA from 1 species
UACGGGGGGGGCAAGCGUUGUUCGGAAUUACUGGGCGUAAAGGGCUCGUAGGCGGCCAACUAAGUCAUACGUGAAAUCCCUCGGCUUAACUGGGGAACUGCGUCUGAUACUGGAUGGCUUGAGUUCGGGAGAGGGAUGCGGAAUUCCAGGUGUAGCGGUGAAAUGCGUAGAUAUCUGGAGGAACACCGGUGGCGAAGGCGGCAUCCUGGACCGAUACUGACGCUGAGGAGCGAAAGCCAGGGGAGCAAACGGG